rnacentral:snRNA from 1 species
GGGACGUGGCGGUUGACGG